UGGGGAAUCUUGCACAAUGGGGGAAACCCUGAUGCAGCGACGCCGCGUGAGCGAUGAAGGUUUUCGAAUCGUAAAGCUCUGUCCUAUGGGAAGAUAAUGACGGUACCAUAGGAGGAAGCCCCGGCUAACUACGUGCCAGCAGCCGCGGUAAUACGUAGGGGGCGAGCGUUGUCCGGAAUUACUGGGCGUAAAGGGUUCGCAGGCGGCAUGACAAGUCCGAUGUAAAAGGCGAAAGCUCAACUUUCGUAAGCAUCGGAAACUGUCAAGCUUGAGUGAAGGAGAGGCAGGUGGAAUUCCUAGUGUAGCGGUGGAAUGCGUAGAUAUUAGGAAGAAUACCGGUGGCGAAGGCGACUUGCUGGACUUCAACUGACGCUGAGGAACGAAAGCGUGGGUAGCAAACAGG
rnacentral:rRNA from 1 species